rnacentral:sRNA from 1 species
UUACUGACGUAACGGCCUGCUCCUAGUA